CAGGUAUCACGUGGCAGCGCUCGAUCACAGGUAUCCAAUAUUGGAAAAUUUUCUAUUCCAUAAAUGGAAAUUAAACCCAAAAUAAACCUAAAAAAUCUUGCCCAAAGAUUCACUUGUCCAUCCGACCAACCACGCGUCCAUAUCGUAAAAGCACCAAUUUUAUCUCUCUCACUCGCACAAACUCCACGUCGUUCGCCUACCCUUCUAAUUGUUGGCGUGGGUGAGAGCCCGUCCACGCGAGUGUGCGCGUCACGCGGUGUGUUUCGCGUGUAAACUUUUAAUGUUACUCUUUCGCAAACCGAAUUUUGAUGUUCUUGGCGAAUGGAAGACGACCACGUAUUUGAUAUCUCGAACCUCCCCAAAGGCAACAGAAGUACGCUAUGCUCGAGGCAGCCCCACGUCGACGUCUGCUUUUGAAAGUGGCUGACACAUAGUGCUCCCUCAUUGGAUGGGAGAGAGGGACAUGAGUUAUAGUGGGCCCCACUGGGGGGGAAAAGGUUUUAACCACUUGGACCCCGUCGUUGUUUCGGAGCUGUAACCCUAGCCCGUGGUGGGGAAGGGGCGUUGGUACUACUGCACACGCGCUUCCUCUCACGUUUCGUUGUUACUAACUUCUGCCUACCGCCCAUUAAUAUAAUAAACGCUAGUCGUAGCUUCCAUUUCGGCGAGAGAGAGAAAGUGGAGAGAGAAAGAUUGUGUAAAGGUUGUUGAUAUGGAGGGCGGAGAACGGCGGCGGAUGCUAAGAAGAGAUGGUGGGGGGCAGGAUAAGCCUGCAAUCGUGAACGCGAACAUGCUUAGAUUUCGGCCGAUUGCACCGAAACCGGUGGCGAACAGAGCCGGAGAGGUUGGUAAUAACGAGAACUCGGUUUCCACUAUUUUGACGAGUGCAAGAAGAAAGAGAAAGUACGUUAGGGUUUCCAAGAAUAAUGUAUGUAGGGCGAAGAACAAGGAUCCUAAGCGCGUGGUGACGACGCUGCAGCUCUUGCCGGAGGAAAACGAUAACAACGGCUCAUCGAACGGUGAAUCUUGGCGUCCGUUAGAUCCUACGGUGACGGACAAUAAUAACGAUAGAAAUAACAACAAUAGUAAUCCAACUGGUAAAGAAGAUGAGAGCUUAGGCCUAGGAAUUCCCAUGUGGUUGAGGAAUUACAUGGGUGGUGGAGGAGGAUCAGAUCCGACGGAGGGGAUGCGGCAGAUGGUGGCGGUGGAGUCUUGGGUGACGGUGGAGUGCUUGAAAGGCACAUGCAUGAAUGUGCAAGGUACGUUUGGAAGUUUUAGGAGUAGGGACGCGGCGAGGAUGAUGAGUGAUCUGGAGGGUGACACGUGUCCUGGUUUUAUAUCGGACGGUCAGAACAGGGUGCAGUGGCUGAACGGGGCGUUUAAGAGGAUGGUGAGCCAGCAGAAGCGCGCAGGGGAGAUAGCGGUGUGGUUGGUGGUGAAAGAGAAACUGCCGUACGCGGAUGCUUCAGCGUUAAUAGCGUGCCAAGUAAAGCUGCAGUACACGGUGGGUAAGGACAAGUGCUCCCGAACUGUGCCUUGUGAUUUGUGGAGAAUGGACGAUGGAGGAUUUGCAUGGAGGCUCGACGUUAACGCUGCUCUCACUCUGGGCCGUUGAUUUGAAGUCGUUUGUAAUCGUAUUUAUGGAUAAGAUUCGUACAGAUUAUCAGUAGAUUAUGGAAUGGAAGAUGAAGAUCUCAGGUAAGAUAAAGAGAGACUGGCCUAUUCUUUCUAUCCUGCUGAAUUAUUGUAACAGGGCUUGAUCUUUCCCGAGGAGGCUGGCUAGCUUCUGUGGAUCUGAAGAAUAAUUGAACAGUGGUCUUGAAAGUGUACAUACUGGUAAGCACGAAGCCGUACGUACGUAUUAGAUAUUGAAUUAUCUCAAUGCCAAGAAACCGCAUUGAGUUGAAAAAAAGGGAUACGUAGCUAUAUAUAUAUGGCUAUAUGCGUACUCCACUUCUACUGUACGUAUACUCUUGAUUUAGCAGCAAAUUAAAGCAGCUGCUGAUGAAAUCCUUAAAGGUUUGAGUACGUACAUAUAUAAUGUAUGAGCAAGCAAGCUAUGUAAAAAACCGCUGGUAUGUUUAUGUUUUUCUAAUGCGCAAUAAUGCACAUGUUAUCAUCAGAGAUUAAUCGAUGUCCAAUAAUUAUGUAUAUUGCUUCUCGAUC